rnacentral:ncRNA from 1 species
ACCCCGAAGUUUGCGCCCGGGUAUUGGUGCAUACCUCCCUGUUGGACUCGGCCGGGCUUCUUGCCCGGCCUUUUUU